UUUUUUUUCAGAGAAAAGUAA
ensembl:piRNA 21ur-12596 ncRNA